AGGACUAACGCUGGCGGCGUGCCUAACACAUGCAAGUCGCACGAGAAAGGGGAGCAAUCCCUGAGUACAGUGGCGCACGGGUGAGUAACACGUGAAUAAUCUACCUCCGAGUGGGGAAUAACUGAGAGAAAUCUUAGCUAAUACCGCAUAACACUUACGAGUCAAAGCAGCAAUGCGCUUGGAGAGGAGUUCGCGGCAGAUUAGUUAGUUGGCGGGGUAAUGGCCCACCAAGACGAUGAUCUGUAUCCGGCCUGAGAGGGCGCACGGACACACUGGAACUGAAACACGGUCCAGACUCCUACGGGAGGCAGCAGUGGGGAAUUUUGCGCAAUGGGGGAAACCCUGACGCAGCAACGCCGCGUGGAGGAUGAAGCCCCUUGGGGUGUAAACUCCUUUCGAUCGGGAAGAUAAUGACGGUACCGAUAUAAGAAGCCCGGCUAACUUCGCGCCAGCAGCCGC
rnacentral:rRNA from 1 species